ACGUGUAGGGGCGUGGUUUGGCGACGAGUAUUCAACAUGGCGAUCUAGCUGAACGUCUAUGGUUUUCUUCGAGUUGCAGGCGUCACUUUUACGUUAAAUUUCCUUUCUUUUGCUCUCGGUAGCUUUACGGCAUUGAAUAUGGACAUGAAGAAGAGAGUCCACUUGGAGCUGAAAAACAGAAGUCCGGCUCAGGUCUGCGUGUUGGCUUUAGACACGUGUCGUUCGGGCGAUGGCGAGGUGGACGGUGUGACGGAGGAGUUCUCGGGUCUGGAGGUUCUGCGUAUGGGCAACGUCGGCCUCAAGUCGCUCUCCAAACUGCCUUCGCUGCCCAAGCUACACAAGCUGGAUUUGAGUGGCAACGGCAUCUGCGGCGGUUUGGAGGCGCUCGCCCAAAAGUGUCCCAACUUGACGCACCUCAACAUCAGCGGGAACAAGAUUGGCGACAUGGCCGCCCUGGAGGCUCUGGAGCCCCUGAAGAAGCUGAAGACUUUAUACGUAUCGAGUUGUGAGGUGAGCGCUCAGGACGACUACCGCAAGGCCGUCUUCCGCCUCCUGCCCAACAUCACCUAUCUGGACGGAUACGAUCGCCACGACAACGAAGCUCCGGACUCUGACGACGACGAGCGCGACGGCGCCGGUCCACACAGUGGCGAAGACGAUGAGGACGAGGAGGAGGUGGGGCUGUCAUACCUGAUGAAGGAGGGUAUCCAGGAGCAAGGCCCGUUCUACCUGAUGCGUCGUCCACUGACUCGUCCUGCUGCACGUUGUCAUGUAACGUGGGAGUUGGGGAACAAAUGGAGCCGAAAAAGUGAGUAUGGAUUGCUCCCAGGAAUAAAUUGGCAGGGCGGACAUUCCAAAUUCUAAACAGCAGAUGGGGCAAAAUCGGAGUUAAGUAUUAGGGAGUGAAUUGGCCAAACUGAAAUUCCAAGAUUUUCCAAAAGAUGGUGCCAAAUCGUUGCCAGAAACCAAAAUUGAGCGUGGUCUGAUCGAUGGAACACACACGAGAGCACAAAGGUGGUUUUUAUUAUUCUUUUAAUUGUAUUUUAUUUUACUAGCUUGGCUGAAAUAUAUUCUGUAACCGCUUAGAGCAAUAUUAUCACAGAAUUGGACUAAGCUGCCCACCCUUAUGAGAAUAGGGGUGUGUUAAAAAGGGUAAAACAAAUGAGUUCUUGGUUUUAUUAUUUCAUUUUAUUUUUUGUAUUUUAUUUCAAUUGCUUGGCUGAAAUAUAUUCUGUAACGGCUUAAAGCAAUAUUAUCACAGAAUUGGACUAAGCAGCCCACCCUUAUGAGAAUAGGGGUGUGUUAAAAAGAGAAAAGGAAGAAAUCAAUUCAAAGGCUUUGAUUUAUUUUGAUUUAAUGGUUGACCAAAGUCUGACUUUAAAGUAUUGAUUUUAAAAAAAGGAGAAGUAAAGAAAAGAGGAAGAAGGGUGCCUGCCAAGGGGGUUUCCACAGAAUUUCAGUGGAAAGAGUGAGCCGGAAACGAGCUGCCCGGAAAAACCGCAGGGGAUGAGCGUGGGAAGCUGGACAGUAUAGAAGCCGUAGGCGUGGGAAACUGGACAGUAUAGAAGCCAUAGGCGUGGGAAACAGUAUAGAGGCCAGCGGAAAAGGGAAGGGCCAGAGAAGUCUAUAAAAAGGCCACCCUGGCCAUCGACAGGGCUCUCUCCUGGACCGCGGUCAUAGUGAACAGAAGCCGGUAGGAGUUUCAAGACUUUCAAGACUUUUUCCAAAGCCUUCGAGAUUUUUGUGUAAGACGCAAGAUUGCUGGCACGGAUUAACUUGGAUUUACUCAAAAGAAUUGGACUGGACAACUUUGCUUGAGAAACUAGUAUCCAGCAGUGACCCUGAAACUCGAUCCCGAGACUCCACCGACAGCUGAGAACAACAAGAAAACGGUGCAAGGCUCUGAAGCGCCUUUGACCUUUUGCAAGAGCAAAGAAGGACUAUAUUUGUGCUGGGGGGGAGCACAACGCUCCGGAAGAAAACGACAUCCUCUGAGGCAGGGGUGGGCAAUUCCGGUCCUCGAGGGCCGGUGUCCUGCAUGUUUUAUAGGUCUCCCUGCUGCAACACACCUGAUUCAAAUGAUCAGGAUUGUUAUCUAGCUUCUGCAGACCUUGCUAAUUAUCCGACCAUUUGAAUCAGGUGUGUUGCAACAGGGUGACAUAGAAAACAUGCAGGACACCGGCCCUCGAGGACCGGAAUUGCCCACCCCUGCCUGAGGCGAGAGUGAAGAAACUUAUAAGAUGUGAAUGGACUCAGUUGAAAAUGGACUCAUCCGAAAGUGAGGUAUGAGUUGGCUCUGAGGCUACAACUAAAGACAACAACUUGACAAUGAGGUGCGGCGAAAGGCCCAUGAGACCUGAAAUGUGCAACAAGCAAACUGGACUCCUUGCUGAGGCGUAACCAAAUUUGGUGGGGCUUGAGUCGAAGUGAAUGGAAGUUUGCUUGGGCACUGAACUUGACACAACUGAGGAGUCUUGAUAAAAGAUAAAUAAAUAAAUCAGGAACAAAAGGUGUAGUGUUACAGAAAAAGUAAAAGCAUCAUAAUCAGAGGAUAAAUUUGGAUAAAACAGAUAAGCUAAAUUGUAUGAAAUAAGAGUAGGAUCACAUUUAGUCCAUCCAGCUUAACAACUAGACAUAGAGUCAUUGACAAAUUGGAGAUGAAAAUAGGACAUUAGGACCCAAUAAGAUGCAGUCAAGAGGUGGCUAGAUUUUUCAAUGGACCUGAUUAUUAUUAAUUAAUAAAAUUAGAAGUUAAUUACACCUCACUGGGAAUUCUGGUGUCAGAAAGUCCGAUAAGUUCAAGGAAUAACAGCCAUGGAAACUUUUGACGGUUAAGAAUAAUGCGGCAUAAGAGUCACACAAAAUGACAUCUUCGGAGGCGAGAGUGAAGAAACUUACAAGAUGUGAAUGGACUCAGUUGAAAAUGGACUCAUCCGAGAGUGAGGAAUGAGUUGGCUCUGAGGCUACAACUAAAGACAACAACUUGACAAUGAGGUGCGGCGAAAGACCCAUGAGACCUGAAAUGUGCAACAAGCAAACUGGACUCCUUGCUGAGGCGUAAAGGGAAAUGUACUUUCGGCAGUUUGCAAACACAUUUGAUUAAGGCUGCGUUAGACACAUAUAAUCAUAUCAAUAUAAUUUCUAGUAGUAGUGUGGUCGCUUAAUAAGUGGAAAGGAAUGUGCAGACUACAUGAAUUUGUUUUCUUCAAAGUAUUGUGGAACAGGAUGUCCAGAAAGGGUGGAUAUCUCAAGGCCGAUGGGGAACGCAAAAAACAACUCGUCUUUGUGGUCCAGACACCUGUGCUGAGCAGGUGAAAACCCAAACGAGGAGGAGAUGACCAUCGACCAAUCACCACACAAUAAUUUGCAUGCUUGAAUAUUCAUAUUGUGUUUCUUUAAAACUGGGCAACCCGGAAGAAUGUCUUGUCUUUUCUGGUCACGAAGGCACACGAGUUUUUGUCUUAAGGACCCAAGACCCAGGCGCCUGUAUUAGCUUGCUUUGUCAGGAUUAAACAAUUGGUAAAUUCGGCCUAAUUGAUCUACUGGUCUUCUCUUUGACAGAACGAACUUGCAAAAUUGUUAGGUGCGCCAGUGUGUGGAUUAGAACAUAUCAAUUCUUGUGUUAAGUGUUGAUCACAAUUUGGAGUCAGAUCAAUAGCUAAAAUCCGUAUCCUAACAGGCGUAACCAAAUUUGGUGGGCUUGGGUCAAAGUGAAUGGAAGCUUGCUUGGGCACUGAACUUGACACAACUGAGGAGUCUUGAUAAAAGAUAAAUAAAUAAAUCAGGAACAAAAGGUGUAGUGUUACAGAAAAAGGAAAAGCAUCAUAAUCAGAGGAUAAAUUUGGAUAAAACAGAUAGGCUAAAUUGUAUGAAAUAAGAGUAGGAUCACAUUUAGCCCAUCCAGCUUAACAAUUAGACAUAGAGCCAUUGACAAAUUGGAGAUGAAAAUAGGACAUUAGGACCCAAUAGGAUGCAGUCAAGAUUAAUUAAUUAUUAAUUAAUAAAAUUAGAAGUUAAUUACACCUCACGGGGAAUUCUGGUGUCAGAAAGUCCGAUAAAUUCAAGGAAUAACAGCCAUGGAAACUUUUGACAGUUAAGAAUAAUGCUGCAUAAGAGUCACACAAAAUGACAGUUAACGAGAUGACGAACGUGAUAGGACUCAAAUAACAAAUGCAUUGACAAGGCAAAGUGAAAACACCAUAGUGGAGUAGACUGUCGGAGGGACCCUUUUGAGUAUCUUUACCCAGCGGUUUGAUCAGAAUGAUUGAUUAGGAUAAAAUUAUUUACGGACCAUCUGAGGCUGCUUCUUUCUCCAUGCUCACCCUUGAACAGGCUCAGCAGUAGAAAUAACUGAAUUUGUUAGGCAUUUAAUUGAUAGUUUUACGGUAAAAGUGAGGUACGAUUGUAUGAAAUAUUUAAUUGAGAAGAACAUCCAGAAAUUCACUGAUUGCCUACUCACUUACACAUACUAAAUUUGUUUGGUGUGGAAUGAGAGCUGAGCGAUGAAGGUGACUGAAUUGGCACUUGUGUGGUUAAGAAUGUGUAUGUGUGUCUGGGACAGGGUGAAAGGCCAAAGUAUUUUGGAGUUGGGGUGAAAGGGUCACAGUUAAGGGUAAGAUUCCUCUCACAUGAGACUGGAACACCCAAGUUUGAUGAGUGAUGAGUUGUAACCUUAACCAACAGCUGAUGGUUAAUCAGAGGCACCAUGAACAACAAAAUAAUUCAUGGAGAAGGCCAAUUUCAGCAACAUGGAUGGACAAGACAGGACUAAUAUCAAACACUAGGACAAUGGACGAUAUGACAUGACAGACUUGGACUCAUGGGAUGACUGACUAUGUGGAUGACAACCAAACAUUUGAAACUUAAGAUGGCUUGUGGCAAGUGCAAGCUUUGCUUUGUUUCUGUGCGUCACUUGACUUAUUGCAGCAUCAACCACCAGCCAAGGAGCAGAUUGCUGGCUGUUUUAUAACUUGUAAUAAUUUUGCAGGUUGGCGAUUGCAGUCUUGGAGAGUUUAUAUUGAAUGCACGUGAAAAUGUUAACCCUAACCCUUUUGAUUUUUGUGAUGAUUGAGGAUUUUCAGGACAGAAUCCCCGGGCGCCAUGAUUCGUUGUGUGUCUAUGUUUUAUUUUGAUACUCGAUGCCUGUGUACUUUUUGUGAGCUCAUGGGUCCGCUGUCAACAGGGCUGUAUGCUCACUGGCAGGAGUGCGAUGAUUUUUGUUUGUGUUGCCGAGUGUGAGGUGAACAGUCAAUUUUCAGGAACUUGGGGAUGACGGUUCUGGAUGAGUGAAAGGUUCGACAAACUGGCUGCAAGGCAUAUGACGAUGCGGUAGGACGUUUUGCCGCUUCCUUUUUGAAUGCCUGCUGACACAUUGAGUGAAUGUGUCAGAGGGGGGAGUUACAUUUAAAUGAGUAAGGAGAUAUAAAAGCUAUUCAAUGUUUUUUCGGACUCAAUUAUUUUUGAGGCUUUAACAGGACGUGCCAGAAUUCAACAGGCAGUGAUGGAAGGAGCAGAAGAAGCAUCUCGAAAGGAAAGGAGUUAAUGGGAGACAACAAUCUGGAAUGGAUGCAAAGCGUGGUAACAAUCUAGCGACAGUAACGGUUAAAGUGUUCCAACGGAAAAGCACGAAUGAUGACAAAUCAUACAGCUAAUAGGGAUUAGACUGCAGCGCAAUAGACAACAAAUCAAAGUCAAAGUCAAAGGCAAAGUCAGCUUUAUUGUCAAUCUCUCCACAUGUCACAACACACAAAGAGACCGAAAUUACGUUUUUCUCUAUGUAAUGUUUCAAAGGUAAUUAAAUAAAAUAGGAAACUGGACCAGAAACAAGGAAUAGGAAAAAUUUCUUAACAUAUGAAUGCAUUAAAGCUGCUAUUAAAGGGAAAGUAUUUAAGAACACAUGUUAAGAGGGUUAAUUUGCAUAACAAAUGUUGAAAAGAGUUGAAUAGUUAAAUCAUUUUGGGAAGAUUACAGGUCCAUUCAAAAGGGCGACUGAUUUGAACAGUAAGAUGACUUGAAGGGGAGACAAAGAUAAUGUACAUCAACAAAUUGGGUGAACAAAACUGACGGGACUGAUACCAUUUGGGAAGACUGAGAAAAAUUUGAAUCAAAGAGAAAAUUUGGAGUAAAAAAUAAUAUUUGGACUGGGAAAGAGCGAUUGCAAAGACUGAUUGACAGGACUUCAGACAGUGACAGCUGCAGCAGGAAAGGCUAACUUGAACAGGCAAAAGUUACUCUGUUACAGGAGGGAUCUUGCGAGACUGACAACACGACGAGAAAUAAGGGGGAUUAUUCAUAGCUCCUAGGGGGAGUGUUUGUUUGUUUGUAUUAGAAUAAUUAGUUUUGCUGAAGCGCUGGUCGGCCUGAAACCGGAGGUCACAUAUCUUCGCUCAAGCCAACAUAUGUGCCAGCCAGCCUUGGGGAGUCCUUAUACUCCCUUCCUUGUCUUAUCUGUGAGAGGCCCUCACUAGUUAUCAACAGAACACCUUUUUUCUUUGUUAGUUUAAGAGAAGUCCUUUCUCUUUUGAUUGUUUUUGUCCAAGACAGUUUUUUAGUUAUCCCAUAUUUACUCAAUGUUUGUUUAAGUAGACUUCAUGCAAAUUAUCUCACAUCCCUUCUGGGCCUUCUACUUAAUUCUCCUCGCGAGCAAAAGAAUACUGGUUGUCUUCUCCUCUUUGUUUCCAGCGUGUAAAUAAAUGUCUGAUGGUAUUUAGACCUGACAUUUUAUUGGUCCUUCGAGCCGGAUGCCAAUACACCUGAGGAUUCCAGCGGGCGUCAGCAGAGAUCCAGAAAGACCGCGCGCGGCAGGACCUCCCUAGGUGGGGUCCUAGAAUCCUUUUCAAGGGCUGUCUGUCUGCUCGUCAGCUGGGAUCUAAAGGUUGAAGGCAUUCCGAGGUGCAGGGGUGCAGAGAACCAGAGGGUGAGAUUUUUUUUUUUAAAAGAGUGGUGCGGCCGAGGGCUCAUCGUGCCCUAUAAAAGUCCUAGGACAGAACGGAGAGGUCCGUUCUAAAGGUACCAAAACGGAGAGGUCCGUUGAAAUAAAAGGACAGAGGUGUCCAAGAAAAGUUACAAAACGGAGAUGUCCGUCUAAAGUAACAAAACGGAGAGGUCCGUUGAAAUAAAAGGACAGAGGUGUCCAAGAAAAGUAACAGAACGGAGACGUCCGUCUAAAGGUAACAAAACGGAGAGGUCCGUUUAAAUAAAAGGACAGAAGUGUCCGACGGAGAGGUCCGUCUAAAAAGGUCAGCGGAGUCCACGUGAAGCCGAAAAUUCCGUAAAACUGUGUGAAUGAGAGUGUGAAUGGGAAUACAUAUCACUAGAUAUAGUAUUCCAUAUUAAAGCAGUGGGGAACACAUAACGUGGGUCUGUGGACGCAAUAGGCAAGGAUUCUCCACCAGAACGCUGGUAGAAGUGAGAAUCACCACAGGAUCUUUUCGUUAUCCCGCUGGGAACACCCGACUUUAGAAACCCCUAUGGUUUUACAGUUGGGACCAAAUUGAUUAAAAUGGGGAACUUGCAGACCAAAAAUAAGAUCCGAGAUGCACUUAAAUGUAAGGAUUGGAAAAUAAUUGAAAGGCAGGAUCCUGACCGACUUAAAAAUCUUGAUAAAUGGGUUAAAAAAUAUAAAUUUGAGGGUCAACUGAAAACAACCAAAUUGACCGAACUUAGAGGUGCCAUAAAAGAAAAGACAAAAAGAAACCCCAAAAAGAUGAAGGAGGAGGAGGGGGAUGAAGAUGUAGUGUUUUGGUUGAAAGUAGCAGGAGAGAGAGAGAAAAAGAAAAAAAAACUCAGAAAGCGCUGUAUUGCAGGCAGGAAGAUGAUAAGACGGGGCCUAACAGUAGGCAGGCAAGAGAAAAACAAAAUUUACAGAGAGCUAGAGAAGAAGGGGGAAGUCUAGAGAAAGUUGAGAAGCGCGUAGAGAAAACACAUGCUACAAAUUCAAAACUAAAGAUCAUAGCGGGAGGAAUACAUCAAUCACGCCCUCCAUGCAGAAAGAGUAGUAAUAGACAAACAAAAGCGAAAACAAAUGAAAGCUUCAAAAGACACUUUUCUGGUAAGACCAGGAUAGUGACACUUUUUACCAAAAUGAAGGCAGAGGACAGAAAGGCCAGAGAGGGCGAGGAUAGUCCAACAGAGAAGGCUUUAGAGGCCGAGGAAGAGGAGUUGUGCAACUUCCAAUAGAAUGCUGGAGUUGCGGGGAAAACGGUCACAUGGCACGUGACUGCACAAAUGAACAAAGACAGUUAUGACUAGGCCAAAAUCAAAUCAGAUUUCCAUGUAAUGAAGUGGGAAUCUGGCUGCCAAAAUUAAAAAGAAAUUAGGUUAAAUAUACAGGAGAUAUUUGUGUUGAAAGGAUAAAGUAAGAUAAAGAAACGCUGAAGUUAAAAUUUGCUAAAUAAAUGGAAAAGAAUUACAAAUAGUUUCUAAAAGUGAAAUAGAGAAUAAAUCAGAAAAGUAAGACAAACAAAAGGUGUGUUAGUGAAAUCUAUGUGGUUAUAAAUGUUGUGCGUCAUCCUUUUUUGCUGGUGUGUGUGUGCGUGUGCGCGCAGAGGAUCCUCAUGAAUGGGUGUCUGUGAUGUGUGUUCUAUGAAAGAAAUUAGUCAUGAAGAAUGUUCAGGAGGCUGUUGAGCGAUAAUAGGGAAAUCGAGAAGUGGACAAUAAUGUGUUUAAGUUGGUUGGAGAAACUGAGAUGAGCAAGGUGUGUGCAAUAGAGAAAAAAGGCGUGUGUGGCAGAGAGUUACGAGAACGGUGGCUUGAUAGGAUGGGAAUAAGAGACAACAAAUGUUGUGUAGAAGACAUUGAAAAGAUGUUGAAUGUGAACAUGGCGAAGGGCGCAACAGCAAAGUUCGCCUGCCCUUUGAGAGGGUGAGACUGAUAAGCGUGCCUGCGCUCGUGCGUUGUAGCGGGGCGGGGCUGUGCGCGUGGGCCUGUGCUUUGCUCGUGCGGGCGGUGGGCCGGCAUCAUGUUUGUUGCAGGAAAUGGCCAGCCUGUGACCAAUCAACAUUGAUGCUACGCCCCCCCCUCGCACAAGGGGUGCGAUGGCUGCGGGCGGGGCAGGGACAGUGUGACUUUCUCAGAGAGUGAUGCUUAAGGAAGAUGUGACAUUUGGAUGAAGGAUAAAAGUCACUGAUGAGAUAAAAAUAAAUAAAUGGGUAUAAUCAAAACGUCAAAAUAGAGGAUGACGUUUGCGCAGCGUUGUGUGUUGGUAUUGUUUGUGAGCUGUGUCUCUGCUGUAAGUUUUUGUGUUGUCUGUGUGCUGUCAGUGUUAUGUGUUAAAAGGAUGAAAUUGGCUAAUGUAGGUGCACAAAAGAAUUGAUUUGCACCGCAAAACAAAAGCAAUUUUGAAAAAAUAAGAAGAGAAGAAAGGCAAGCAAUUUUUUGUGGGCAGAAACUGGUCCAUACUGCAUUAAUGCCUAGCCCUGAUGAAGCAAAAUUUGAGAGAUGGAAAGAACUUGCUUUCUGGAAUUGGAUGAAGCAAAAUUAUUAAAUAACAACAUUUCAAAGCUAAAUUUAGAAGAAAUAGUCGAUUGGUUGUGUCAAGACUACACUAGUUUUUACAUUUGAGAAUAAGAGAGUGAUUGAGUUAGUUAAAGUUAAGAAAAAACAAUUGACUAUUAUAAUUAUUUACUGGUGGUUAUUUUGUUGGUUUUUAUCUUUUAUCUUGAUUGGUUUGACACCUUGAGGGAGGAUAGAUUAGGAUGUGGAACACAAGUUGAGACAACCAGUUACACACACAGAACGUGUGCACUGGGACACUGAGAAUCAUUUUAAAAGGGGUGUCAAAUUAAAUGAUGAUGAAAUCAUAUGUAGUAAUACAACACAUUACUACAUAUAGAUUCUCUAAAUCAUACAAUUGAGUGAAAUAAAACCUAAAUUUAAGUUUUAUUCAAAUUUCUAAGAUUCUUGUGAUAAACGAUGGGAAAAAGAUUGAAAAGUAACCACAGAAACUACAAAAAAGUGAAAAUGUCUGAUCAUUUGCUAGCUGAGUCGCUCCACAUUCGGGGAGGCCAUCCAUUUACUUGCUAAGCUAGUUGUGGAAACAGUCCAAUUGCCACAAAAAGUAGCUAUAUGCACGUGUGCAGUGCACACACACGAGACUGAUAAGGUGUCAAGAGGUAACAAGCUUGCGGACAGAACCGCAAAAGAAAAGCGCAAAAGACACUUCAAAUCUUAUACACACAAGAAGCAGAUUAAAUCACUGACACAUUUUUAAAGAUGUGCAGCAACAAAGUCCAUAGACUGGAAUUCAAUUAGGGACGAAAAGAGGGGCAAGAGUAGUGAAUGGCAUCCAUAAAUGACCAGAAGACAGACCUAUCCUACCAAAGAACCUAUACAAAUGGGCAGCAAUAUUGAGCCACAGUGCGUGUCACAUGGCUCAAAAGGAGGGAUAGUGGGGCAGGUCAGUCAGCUUUAUACAACAUUAAAAUAGCAGAAAGGUCAGUUGAGGUGGUCCUAGCAAAUUACAAAAGGGUAAUUUCUUUUGAGGUAACGUUCAAUCGGAAAAAGUGACCCAAAGGAAGCCUUACCUCUUAGAGAAAUGCCGGGAACAAGAAAAUAGAACAAUGACGUUAUUGCAUUUUGGGUGGCUAUCUUUGUUGCCAUUUUGUUAACUUCAGCAAUAUGGUAUUUGUGGGAACUAAGUCAUAAUGAGUAGGGGAGAGAUGAGUGAACAACUUAUAUUGAUCACUCCCAAAUAAUUAUGCUGCAUUGUAGCAAUUUAAAAGAUCAAUUUGAUCUUUGCAGGAUGAUCUGCUGUGUCGGAUCUGGACUGCCAUGAAAGUAUGAUGUUUAUAUGUGUACUUUGUCAACAACUGCUGUAGAUGUUAAAGAAUGGGAUGAAUAUAUCUAAAAUGAAUGUGGAUAAUAUGUUUCAGGUAACUAUAAGAGUAACUGAAAACUGAAACAAUUGAUUGCUAAUGGCAAAACAAGCUGUAAAGACAAACAAAAAUUGAAUAUGUCAUAGGUAUGGGUUUGCGACCAUUGCUUUCAGAGAAUGUAGUCAAGCGAAAUUGUAUAUGCAUCAACAUGCCAAGAUCUGUAAAAAACAAAAGAAAACAAAAAAAAAAACCUGGUAAAAACCAAAAUAUUUUUAAAUUUGAGAGGCGACGACGAUCUGACCGAAAUGUAUGCAAUUGGAGUCCCUAGAGGAGUUCCUGAUUAAUAAGAAUUAAUUGACCAAAUUGCAGUGCGACGGGAGUCCUCCAUUUGCUGUUGGUGAGCGGUGAACAAGAACAUAGACAGAAUAAAUUACAUCCACUACAAUGUGAAAAAAUUGGGCAAUUGGACACAAGCGGGGCUUGAGGCAGUGCAUGAACAGCUAGCCACAACCUCCCUAAUGGCAUUCCAGAACCGUAUUGCUCUUGAUAUGUUGUUGUCUGAGAAAGGAGGGGUCUGCGCAAUGUUCGAAGAACAAUGCUGCACCUUCAUCCCCAACACCGCCCCUGAUGGGAGCCUGACGAGGGUGAUUGCAGGCCUGCAAUCCCUCAAUGCGAGGAUGAAAGAGCACUCUGGUGUGGACACAUCAGUGUGGGACAAAUGACUGGAUGUUUUUGGGAAGUAUAAAGCCCUUGUGUAAUCGAUUUUGAUAUCAGUUGCAGUAUUUGCUGCUAUACUCACCUUGUGUGGAUGUUGUUGUGUUCCUUGCCUGCGUGCUCUGUUUAACCGUCUCAUCACUACAGCAAUAUCGCCCAUGGAGGACAAGAUGGCUCGGAUGUAUCUAAUGUCUGAGUGACAAGAUGAUGAUGAUGAUGAUGAUGAUGAUGAUGAUGAUGAUGAUGAUGAUGAUGAUGAUGAUGAUGAUAAUAAUGAUGUUGAUGACUGGAUUCGUGCACUGACGUUACAAAACUUUUCCCCCGAUCCAUGCGAUUCUGAAUGAUGACGACGCGACAUUUAUCUUUUGAGUGUAAACACAUUUGUUUUCAUAAAUGUGAUCCGACAACUGAAAAUCGAGAGAAGUGGUUGUUUACGGUGAUGUGAGGAUUUGAGCAAAUGUGUGAUAAACAGGAGGGAAAUGUUAGAAUCAUUAGUUUUGCUGAAGCGCUGGUCGGCCUGAAACUGAAGGUCACAUAUCUUCGCUCAAGCCAACAUAUGUGCCAGCCAGCCUUGGGGAGUCCUUAUACUCCCUUCCUUGUCUUAUCUGUGAGAGGCCCUCACUAGUUAUGAACAGAACACCUUUGUUCUUUGUUAGUUCAAGAGAAGUCCUUUCUCUUUUGAUUGUUUUUGUCCAAGACAGUUUUUUAGUUAGUUAAUGUUUGUUUAAGUAGACUUCAUGCAAGUUAUCUCACAUCUACUUAACGUUUAUUGGAGUGUAUGCACAAGAGGGACACGGCAUCCAGGUUUGGAGAUUGCAGCCGGGAACGAGGCUGCCAACCAUCUAAGAACAGAGUCUGCAUUCCUGGGGUCACGGAUCGGCCAAGGCCAUGCGGCCUCGCACCACACAACAUUAUUAGCUAGCUGAACAGCGUUGCUACAGUCACACUCUCCCCUCCCUUUAGUGUAGCAACGCAUCUUGUAACCAGGGCAACCCAAUAUAAAAAGAGGAGAUGACGGUAGGGCAGGUCAGAAUUGGUGGAGGACUGUGAACUGGGCCUUCUACCUAAUUCUCCUCGCGAGCAAAAGAA